ACUAGGAGAAUGUAUGAAUCUCGGAGUUUUGGGACGUUCAACCCUCCAAGUACUGAGGAUGUAAGACCCGGCAACAAUGGAGGUGGAAAGACCUGUAGGAGACACAGCUACAAUCAUGCCCCUGCUGCACAUUCAGAUAUAAAGUUUGAUGAAUCAGAUUGUGAUGAAGAAAUAGAAAUUGAAGAUUAUCCUGUUGGCAGCACUGAUCUGCCACCACCAGUACCUUCUCUUGAGAAACAGGAUUCUUCUAUUCACCGUGUACACCCAAAAUUGCCGGAUUAUGAUGAUCUGGCUGCUCGUUUUGAAGCUCUCAAGUAUCGCAAAUCACUACCAUGAAAAUCAGAUGCUUG
rnacentral:lncRNA from 1 species